AUAUGUAAAGAAACCAAACUCUGAUCCUGAGUUUCGUAUAUACUUUUCAAAGGAAUGGUACGAGGCCUUGCGUUUAUCUGUGAGGAAUUUCUUUAGUGAGAUCUUCAAUGGUACUCAUAUCCUUCAAAAUUGUUUUUUAUUUACAUUUUUGUAUAUGUUGCGUCCAACUCCAUAGACUUUUGAUGUUAUCAGAAUUUCAUAGCUACCAUACGAAAACCAGUUUUGUUUGUACCAACCAUGCUCUAAUUUAUUUUGAGUUUGUAUAUUUCAAGUGAAAACGAGGUUAGUUUUGCAUUGGCUUUCAGAAUCUUGGUUCCAGCAGGAAGCCAUUUCCGCAAGAAUUGAUGGGGAAGGCAUGGUUGUGUGUGUGCAGUUUGUGGGGUUACCCGGUCAGGAAUGGGUUACUGAGGUAGGUAUGGAAGAGUUUUGACUUCUCUGUUUCCUCCCUUGAUUCAACAGGUAAUGCACUGUUUCCUCCCUUGAUCCUAUUAUGCUUUUGCUGCUGUAUUUUGAGUUUGAAGAAAAUGCCCUUAACUAAACCACGCAUGCCAGCCCUUUUGAAAAUCAGUUCAGAGAAGACUACUGUCAACCGUCUGAAAAAAGACAUCAAGCUACUCAAUCUCAAGCUGUCAGAACUUCAGGCUUUGUUGGAGGAAAAAGAUGGUGAAUUAUGCCAGUUAAGAAG
rnacentral:lncRNA from 1 species